rnacentral:lncRNA from 1 species
UGCAGCACACUCGGGCGGCGGAAAAAACCAAGUCUGGAGAUCAACAGGGGUAGCUGCUUGACGAUGAAGGCGGACAAGCUGCACCUGAGCAACUACGUGAGCUCGAACGAGUCAGGCUACGACAGCGACAGCACGAGGAACGCAGAGGACAGUUUCAUGCUCAAGCUGGAUCUCAGCGAGAAGUCGGACCUCAACGAAAGUUUCGACUCGAGCAGUGUCAAGUCCGAGCGGCUCGACGACACUGAGCAACCCUUUAGUCUGGCCCUACAGCCCAGCUCGCCCUGGGCCUACAAUAGCCUGAGCCGGCAGUUCAAGUCGCGGCAAUCUAGUCAAGGCUCGGAAUCCCCGCCUUUCAAGUUCAAGGGCGACAAACGGGACAUCCCCCGCACCCCCAAGUUCACCCGGCAGAUGUUCGUCAAGAACACCAAGCCGCGGAGGAUGUUCUCGACGGUGCUACCCAUCGAGCAGGAGAUGACGUCACUCCCGCCCAUGACGUCACUGCCACCCAAUCUCAACGCGGAGCCGAGCAGGAGGUUCCGGCUCAUCCGGCUCCUCAAAGUCAGGGCAGACGAGGACCUGGGCAUCUACCUCACCAUGAAGGCGCUCGACUUUCAGAGCUCCGAGGUCCGGUACAUCGUCGUUAAGCUCGAGGCCGGAAAGAUCGCUGAAAGGUAAGUUCGAGUUUCGGGUUUUUCGCAAUAUUUAAAGUAUUUUGGGUUUUUUUUAGAGAGAGAGGGGGGAGGGGGGGAGAGAGGGGGGAUUGCACCUGCGUCC